GGCUACAUAGCUCAGUGGACAGAGCGCAAACCUCCUAAGUUUGAUGUCGCAGGUUCAACUCCUGCUGUGGUCG
rnacentral:tRNA from 1 species